GGAAGAGAGAAUAGGUUGUGAGAUACAGAAGAAUAAGAACAUACAGAAGAAGAGAGCAUAUUUCCACAGCUCCACAAGCUCUUUUCACGAUUGGCAAAAGCAUCAUAUUUGAAACAUUUCAAGAUCCAGAGAACAAAUACAGCUGUAUUUGAAAACAUUUCCCAGAACUCUGCAUGAUACUAGGAAAAGGGCUUUCAACAUCUCCUGGUAUAAGGACAAUUCCAUGGCUUGAAUAUUCUAAGCUUUACAACUAUGUAUCUGGCCCGUACGUUCAACUCAAGUUGCUUGCAGUUCAGAAAGAGCUGUGUCCACAGCAGUAGUCCAGAACUACAGAGACUUGCGGAUGUAAGGUGGGCAUGCAG